ACGUGUUUGUCUACGGCUGCAGCAUCAAGGAGACCCUGUGGCAGGCGGAGUCCGCCGUGGGUGCCCCUGCUGUCUCCGAAGAUGUCAGCUACAGGACUCUUCCCAGAAUCCUGGACCAGCUCGCCCCCGCCUUCACCAUGAGCAGCUGCAGUUUCCUGGUGGAGAAAUCUCGCGCCUCCACCGCCCGGGUGGUUGUGUGGAGAGAGAUGGGGGUGACCAGGAGCUACACCAUGGAGAGUAGCUACUGCGGCUGCAACCAGGGCCCCUACCAGGGCCUGCAGUUUGGGACCCGGGAGCUGGAGGAGAUGGGAGCCAUGUUCUGCUUGGGCCUCCUCC